UACGGAGGAUGCAAGCGUUAUCCGGAUUUAUUGGGUUUAAAGGGUGCGCAGGUUGUUUGAUAAGUCAGUGGUGAAAGUCUGUCGCUUAACGGUAGGAUUGCCAUUGAUACUGUUGGACUUGAAUAUGGAUGAGGUAGGCGGAAUGUGUAGUGUAGCGGUGAAAUGCAUAGAUAUUACACAGAACACCGAUUGCGAAGGCAGCUUACUAAUCCAUCAUUGACGCUUAGGCACGAAAGCGUGGGGAGUCAAACAGGAUUA
rnacentral:rRNA from 1 species